rnacentral:SRP_RNA from 1 species
GCCAGGUGUGGUGAUGCACACCUGUAGUCCCAGCUACUCGGGAGGCUGAGGCAGAAGAAUUGCUUGAACCUGGGAGGUGGAGUUUGCAGUGAGCCGAGAUUGCCCCACUGCACUCCAGCCUGGGUGACAGAGCGAGACUCUGUCUCAA